AUUGAACGCUGGCGGCAGGCUUAACACAUGCAAGCCGAGCGGAGAUGAGGUGCUUGCACCUUAUCUUAGCGGCGGACGGGUGAGUAAUGCUUAGGAAUCUGCCUAUUAGUGGGGGACAACAUUCCGAAAGGAAUGCUAAUACCGCAUACGUCCCACGGGAGAAAGCAGGGGAUCUUCGGACCUUGCGCUAAUAGAUGAGCCUCAGUGGGAUUAGCUAGUUGGUGGGGUAAAGGCCUACCAAGGCGACGAUCUGUAGCGGGUCUGAGAGGAUGAUCCGCCACACUGGGACUGAGACACGGCCCAGACUCCUACGGUAGGCAGCAGUGGGGAAUAUUGGACACUGGGGGGAACCCUGAUCCAGCCAUGCCGCGUGUGUGAAGAAGGCCUUAUGGUUGUAAAGCACUUUAAGCGAGGAGGAGGCUACUGAGACUAAUACUCUUGGAUAGUGGACGUUACUCGCAGCAUAAGCACCGGCUAACUCUGUGCCAGCCGCCGCCGUAACAC
rnacentral:rRNA from 1 species